UACGAAGGGGGCUAGCGUUGCUCGGAAUCACUGGGCGUAAAGCGCACGUAGGCGGAUUGCUAAGUCAGGGGUGAAAUCCUGGAGCUCAACUCCAGAACUGCCUUUGAUACUGGCGAUCUCGAGUCCGGGAGAGGUGAGUGGAACUGCGAGUGUAGAGGUGAAAUUCGUAGAUAUUCGGAGGAACACCAGUGGCGAAGGCGGCUCACUGGCUCGGUACUGACGCUGAGGUGCGAAAGCGUGGGGAUCAAACAGG
rnacentral:rRNA from 1 species